rnacentral:rRNA from 1 species
GACGAACGCUGGCGGCGUGCUUAACACAUGCAAGUCGAACGGAAAGGCCUGCUUUCCCUUGUGGAUUGCGGGUACUCGAGUGGCGAACGGGUGAGUAACACGUGAGUGAUCUUCCCCCAACUUGGGUAUAAGCCUGGGAAACUGGGUCUAAUUCCCGAUAGGACUGCAGGGUGGUGCCUGUGGUGGAAAACGAUUUUCUAGUGGUUGGGGAUGUGCUCGCGGCCUAUCAGCUUGUUGGUGGGGUAAUGGCCUACCAAGGCGGCGACGGGUAGCCGGCCUGAGAGGGUGGACGGCCACAUUGGGACUGAGAUACGGCCCAGACUCGUACGGGGGGCAGCAGUGGGGAAUAUUGCACAAUGGGCGGAAGCCUGAUGCAGCGACGCGGCGUGGGGGAUGACGGCCUUCGGGUUGUAAACUCCUUUCGACCGCGAGGAAGCCACCUGGUUGGAAGGGUGGUGACGGUAGUGGUAGAAGAAGCACCGGCUAACUACGUG